AACACGACUCUCGGCAACGGAUAUCUCGGCUCUCGCAUCGAUGAAGAACGUAGCAAAAUGCGAUACCUGGUGUGAAUUGCAGAAUCCCGUGAACCAUCGAGUCUUUGAACGCAAGUUGCGCCCGAGGCCUUCUGGCCGAGGGCACGCCUGCCUGGGCGUCACGC
rnacentral:rRNA from 1 species